ACUCCUACGGGAGGCAGCAGUGGGGAAUAUUGCACAAUGGGGGAAACCCUGAUGCAGCCAUGCCGCGUGUGUGAAGAAGGCCUUCGGGUUGUAAAGCACUUUCAGUAGGGAGGAAGGUAGUGUAGUUAACACCUGCAUUAUUUGACGUUACCUACAGAAGAAGCACCGGCUAACUCCGUGCCAGCAGCCGCGGUAAGUACGGAGGGUGCGAGCGUUAAUCGGAAUUACUGGGCGUAAAGCGCAUGCAGGCGGCCUGUUAAGUCAGAUGUGAAAGCCCGGGGCUUAACCUCGGAAUUGCAUUUGAAACUGGCAGGCUAGAGUCUUGUAGAGGGGUUAGAAUUUCGAGGUGUAGCGGUGAAAUGCGUAGAGAUCUGAAGGAAUACCAGUGGCGAAGGCGGCCCCUGGACAAAGACUGACGCUCAGAUGCGAAAGCGUGGGAGCAAACGAGGAUUAGAUACCCCUGGUAGCGACUGA
rnacentral:rRNA from 1 species